AGUGAACGCUGGCGGUAGGCCUAACACAUGCAAGUCGAACGGCAGCACAGUAAGAGCUUGCUCUUACGGGUGGCGAGUGGCGGACGGGUGAGGAAUACAUCGGAAUCUACUUUUUCGUGGGGGAUAACGUAGGGAAACUUACGCUAAUACCGCAUACGACCUACGGGUGAAAGCAGGGGAUCUUCUGACCUUGCGCGAUUGAAUGAGCCGAUGUCGGAUUAGCUAGUUGGCGGGGUAAAGGCCCACCAAGGCGACGAUCCGUAGCUGGUCUGAGAGGAUGAUCAGCCACACUGGAACUGAGACACGGUCCAGACUACUAAGGGAGGCAGCAGUGUGGAAUAUUGGACAAUGGGCGCAAGCCUGAUCCAGCCAUACCGCGUGGGUGAAGAAGGCCUUCGGGUUGUAAAGCCCUUUUGUUGGGAAAGAAAAGCAGCAGGUUAAUACCCCGCUGUUCUGACGGUACCCAAAGAAUAAGCACCGGCUAACUUCGUG
rnacentral:rRNA from 1 species